UACGUAGGGACCAAGCGUUGUUCGGAUUUACUGGGCGUAAAGGGCGCGUAGGCGGCUUAACAAGUCACUUGUGAAAUCUCCGGGCUUAACUCGGAACGGCCAAGUGAUACUGUCGUGCUAGAGUGCGGAAGGGCUACUGGAAUUCUCGGUGUAGCGGUGAAAUGCGUAGAUAUCGAGAGGAACACCUGCGGCGAAGGCGGGUAGCUGGGCCGACACUGACGCUGAUGCGCGAAAGCGUGGGGAGCAAACAGG
rnacentral:rRNA from 1 species